UAAUCGCGAUUAAUCGCAAUUAAAAGACUGACACUUUUUGGAUAUGUAAAUGUAAAAUGUAAAUAAUUAAUGUCAACUCAAGACAAAGAAACUAUUUAAAUUCAAAAUAUGAUUGUUUAUUGGAAUUUUUGUUUAACUUGUAACACAGAUUUUCUCAUGUAAACAACAUACCUGCAAUAAAUCAUCAAUAUCCUCCAAAUUAACUGUUGGCUUGAAAGCCAUAUUUAUUACAGAAAUAAAAACACAGGCAUGUAAGUACCAUUUGAAUUUCAAAACAAUCAAUGCCAAUAAAAAACAAAAACAAAACAAAAAUUUCCAUGUUGAAUUCUAAGUGGACUGCAAAAAAAUUCCAAAGUAUAGUUAUUGCCAGUGCUUUAAGUGAGCCGGUAUGCUCAUUUGGACAUCUGUUUUAAUAGAGGUUUUAAUCUUUUACCUGCACUGCCGAUUUUCAGAGCGCCCUUCACAAUGCAAGCUUCCUAAUUCAUCCCACCCAGAGCAGAAACUACAUUACCCAUUCACCCUUAAGUUAUACAAGUGAAUAGCGCAUGUGUCGCUUUUCCCACUGUUAAGUGUCAACAACUCAUCGUGGCCGGAGAAGGUGUGUGAAACUCGUUGUGAGUUAUACUAAAGCAAAAUCUUGAGUAUUUAUUGUCUGAUAAACAUUAAAAACUGUCUGCGGAGGUUGAGUCGUCCUGCAGCCCCCGCUGGCUGCUCAUUGGCUGCAGCAUCUUUUUUCUAAGUUCUAAAAAAAUACCGUAGACGGCAAGGCACAAAUUUAGAUAUUCAUUUAUCUAAUUAAUCUAUAGCCUAUGCACAAAGACAAUAUGAUCUUUUCGUCCCCUUUUUGUUUUAAAGCUUGAUGAAGAGAGAGAGCGCAAGUUGCUGCAGCUGCGAGGACAGUGAUGCACGCGUACAGGAGUGAUUGACAGUUCGCGGCACGGUGUACAAAAAAUACUCCGCUACACAAUUAUUUCGUUAUUUUCAUUUAAGCUUAUAAACGUUAGCGUUACAGAAAGGUCUGAUUUACGCUUUAUUACGCUGAUUUAUUUUUUUUUUUUAAAUGACAUUUGAAUUCAUGAUUUUAAUGUUGCUGUUUCUUGUGGCAGACUAAAUGAAGAGUAAUGUUUCUUGUGGCAGACUGAAGAGUAAUCCGGCAGAGUUUUAUACUGAAACUUUCCGUCUAAAAGUCCUUCCUUGGUCUUAUGCCAACCCGUUCUCAUCAGUCUGCGUAUAAAUAACACGACUUUACAUUUUCUAUUUGCGUGUAAUGCAUACGCCAAAUGCCAUUUUUGCGUGCAUAUGAUACGCCAAUCCUUCCCAUUAAUUUCGGUGGAGAGCAGAUGCGUCCAAAUAACACGCAUCAUCUUCAGCGGCAGUGACGUCACUAGCGUGGCUCGUUCAGUUCACCUGAUGCGCGUACACCUUCAAACAGGUAAGCAAGGGUAAAUAUAUUUUUUUAUUCUUCUUUUUGUAAUGAUAUCACGUGGUUAAGCGUAUUGUUUUAAUUAUUUCAGUAUUUCUGCAUCACGUUAGACAGGGCCGUGUUUUUAAAGGGCAGUUUAUGCUCAAAUUAUGGGUCAGUGGGCUGCUCAGCUAGCCUACCAUUGUCAUUAGCCUAAGCUAACCUGUACUGUUUAUAGACCUGUUGCAGUUUUAAAUAAAUUUAUGAUGUGACAUAUGGGUCUUCAGCUUUUAGACAUGACUAAUACAAGCACAACAAAGCACCCAACCCAAUAUCGCGUGAUAAUCGUGAUCGUGUAAAAAGUCCACACAUUUAGCAUAUUUUUACAAUACUAGCCUAACUUUUGCUUGACCACGUCAUGUGUAGCCAAUACACACACAGUAACUACAGCAUAUUUACCAUGCUUCUCCUACUGUAACCGUAGUUUUACUCUGGACUUUGUAACGCACAUAACCACGACAUUUACUAUGGGUUUACCAUAGUAACCAUAGUUUUACUCUGGUAUUUGUAGUUACUAACACACAAUAACCACGACAUUUACUAUGGGUUUACCAUAGUAACCAUAGUUUUACUCUGGUAUUUGUAGUUACUAACACACAAUAACCAUGACAUUUACUAUGGGUUUACCAUAGUAACCAUAGUUUUACUCUGGUAUUUGUAGUUACUAACACACAAUAACCACGACAUUUACUAUGGGUUUACCAUAGUAACCAUAGUUUUACUCUGGUAUUUGUAGUUACUAACACACAAUAACCACGACAUUUACUAUGGGUUUACCAUAGUAACCAUAGUUUUACUCUGGUAUUUGUAUUUACUAACACACAAUAACCACAACACUUACCAGGAUUUUACCACAGUAACUGUUUUUACUCUACACUAUUUGUAAAGCACAGUAACCACUAAGUUUGCCAUGCCUUUAAUAUCUUUUUGUGAUGUAAUUGUAAUUCAGUGUUUUUUCUGUCUUGCAGUUACGUCGGAUUACAUACUCCACAACAACCUGUAAUCCAGCAGAUCUUUAAAGAAGCCAUCUCUUGUCAAAUCUCUCUCUCUCUCUCUCUCUCUCUCUCUCUCUCUCUCUCGCUCUGCUAGAAUUAACAGGGAACUUCAACUCCACGCUCCCAAUGCUGAUAUUGAAGAAGCUGUCAAGGGGGCUGAACAAGUCCUUCAAAGGAUCAACCCUUCACAGGAAGGCCUGUCAUGAGAUUUGAAUUUGACCAUCUUGUGCAUUUAUGAAGAAGACCAAAAGCUGCAAAGGCAAACACUUGGAUUUCUCACAGAUUACUUAAUCAUUCUUCAUCAGCUCUUCACAAUAUCAGCCCAUUCAAAAGCUUCCAGAUCUUCCUCUCUUGUGUGACACAUCUGCUCUCAGUCCUUUACUGCCAACCUCCAGUCUUAGCAUUUCUGCUUGUAUUCAUUUUUCCUCUACAUUCAUCACUCCAAUCUCUACUAUAAGCACUCCUGUAUAUAUAUAUAUAUACACAUAAUAAUAAUAAUAAUAAUUAUUAACCAUUUAUUUGUUUUGCAUUUAUUCACAAUAGAAGCAAACAAUGAUUACAGGAUAUAUGUUUUUAAAGGUUAUAAUUGUAAAAUAGCAUUGUUCUUAAUCAUUUUUGCCUAUUUGGUUGAUAAAGGGAAGAAAACAAUAUAUUUUCAACUGUAGCCUUGAUUAUUCUUUGGCAUCUUUUGUCAGGAUUUCUGUAAACAAAUUCCCUUUUUAUUUUUGAAUAUUAAACUUAUGUUUUUUGAAGGGAGUUUCUGUUGCAAUUUUGUUUGUUUGUUUUCACUUAGUUACCUCUAUGCAUUUUUUUUUUUUAUCAACUUUUCUUUUUUUUCAUAGUGGAAUAAACUGGAGAGAGACUGUUCUGGGCACUAUGUUUAUCUGCGAAAAGUUUGACAUAUCAAUAAACACUGUAAAAUGACUAGACAA